ACGUUAGCGGCGGACGGGUGAGUAACACGUGGGUAACCUACCUAUAAGACUGGGAUAACUCCGGGAAACCGGGGCUAAUACCGGAUAACACAUGAAACCGCAUGGUUUCAUGAUGAAAGACGGUUUUGCUGUCACUUAUAGAUGGACCCGCGGCGUAUUAGCUAGUUGGUAAGGUAACGGCUUACCAAGGCAACGAUACGUAGCCGACCUGAGAGGGUGAUCGGCCACACUGGAACUGAGACACGGUCCAGACUCCUACGGGAGGCAGCAGUA
rnacentral:rRNA from 1 species